CCUACGGGAGGCAGCAGUAAGGAAUAUUGGUCAAUGGACGAAAGUCUGAACCAGCCAUGCCGCGUGAAGGAUUAAGGCCCUCUGGGUUGUAAACUUCUUUUAUCUGGGACGAAAAAAGGGUAUUCUUACUCACUUGACGGUACCAGAGGAAUAAGCACCGGCUAACUCCGUGCCAGCAGCCGCGGUAAUACGGAGGGUGCAAGCGUUAUCCGGAUUUACUGGGUUUAAAGGGUGCGUAGGUGGGCUUGUAAGUCAGUGGUGAAAUCUCCGGGCUUAACCCGGAAACUGCCAUUGAUACUAUAGGUCUUGAAUUAUCUGGAGGUAAGCGGAAUAUGUCAUGUAGCGGUGAAAUGCCUAGAUAUGACAUAGAACACCAAUUGCGAAGGCAGCUUACUACGGAUAUAUUGACACUGAGGCACGAAAGCGUGGGGAUCAAACAGGAUUAGAUACCCUGGUAGUCCACGCCCUAAACGAUGGAUACUCGACAUCAGCGAUACACUGUUGGUGUCUGAGCGAAAGCAUUAAGUAUCCACCUGGGAAGUACGAUCGCAAGAUUGAAACUUAAGGAAUUGACGGCUGAGACGNGCGAGACGACACGAGGGAGGAGG
rnacentral:rRNA from 1 species